CCCCCGCCCCACCUCCGCGCGGCCCGGGGUCGACCCACGCGGCGCCGGCGCCCUAGCGCGUCCGGCUCGCGCUUCCUAGCCCUCGGGGCGCCCCAGCCGUUCCGUGCUGGAUCCGGAGCCCGAAUACUCUGGCCUUGGGGAAUGGACCCAUUAAGCCUUCCCGGAAGCCUAAAGGGCGCUCGAGGCAGUAAGGCGGAGCUGAGGGGCCGCAUCAUUAAGCCCAGGGUUUAAGGGUGGGUGGGCUCGUGCAGACACACACACAAAACGUUCCCAAAGGCUCUACCCGGAGGCAUCCUUAGCUGACCAUUCACUGCGUUUUCGAUGGCAACUUGUUGCUUGGAUUCUAGUCAGGACCAAGUUCUUGUAUUUGAGGGGAAUUUGGAACCACGCUCUUUCCCACCCACUCAGAAGCUACUACCACGGUUCUACAAAUAAGACAUCUGCUCGUUCAAAGAAAACUAUCCAUUCUGGGCUUCGUGGAGUCAGUGAGUGUUUCCUGCUUAGCCCAGCAUGUACUGUGGGCUUAACUAAGGGGGAUGACAGAGGUCAGUCUUAUGCACCAACACUGUUUUGCCAGGCCCUCUACAAAACUGCAAAUGAGCUGCCCCCCUCCUCUCUGCAGGCUUUCAAGAUAACUCAGCGAUUUUCCAUGGUUUUGAGAUUGUGAUGCCCUUUAAUAUUGUUUUUCGUGCUAUGAAAUCUAAACCCACUGGGAUGCGACCCACAGAUGAUAAAGCAAAUACAAAUAUAUCUGCCUUAUCGCUGAAAAUCCCGACUCUGCUACUCAGAACACUGAGAGUCUAUUGUGGAACCUGGACUCUAGGAGCUAUAUUGAGAAUCAUCACUGGUUCUACAGAAUUCUAUUAUCUGGAAAAAUCCACACUCAGAUACUAGUCAUUUGAGAAAGCACAAUCUCUUAUGUUCCUACGGAGACCUAGCUAACAUUUUGGGGAUAUGAUAUUAACUAUCUCCAAAAGGGCCCAUGGACUGUCCUGUUUUGAGAUUCUUCUGAUGGCUGAAGAAAGGGAACAGGUGGCAAUUAGGCUGAAGGAAGUACUUUCACAAAAUGAUGCCCGAGCAUCUUGCCCAAUUCAACUCAAAAUUUUAUUCAUUGUCUACAAGGUACCAGGCACGAAGCAAGCUGCUGAUGAUAUGGAGACCAAUAAAGCUUCAACUUCCCCUUAAGAAACUCACAGUGUAGUGGGGAAGAUGCAAAAUAACUUUUAGACAAUCUAUAGUAGCAUACCAAUAGUGCUGCAGAAACAAUGAUGAGAGAGCUGUUAAUUAGGGCCAGAAGCUCCUGAAAAAAGAGGUGACAGGUCAUUACAAGGAAGCCAUAUGGAAGUGCCAUUAACUCCAGUUAACAGCAACAUUUCAGGAAUGAUUGAAGACCGGGGAGCCAGCAGGAAAGGACAGAAAAGAGCAGACAGAGAGGUAAGAGACUUGGAGUGUUAUGUCUUGGAAUCCCAGGAAGGCAAGGAGAAGACGGUGAAAGGACUGAAAGCUACAGAAGAGUUUGGCAAUCGGAUCAGGGGCAGCCUUAGAGAGGGCAGCUUAGUGGAAGGGUGCAGCAGACAGAAGCCACGUUACAGUAAGUUGAGAGGGAAGAAAUGUUAGGGAAGCUCCUUCGGGAGGAAAGGAAAACUUAUGUCUACCAGGAGGAUGAAAGGCAGGAACCAGAUGCCAGAAGGGUAUAGUUGCUAAGAUAAGAGCCUAGAAAAAGAGGAGUGAUGGAAUCAACAGGGUAGGUGGAGGGGACCAGUUUUACAGCUACUGCCACCCUGUUCAUACCAAUAAUUACAUUUCCCCACCCCAUGCUCAGAGAUUCCUAUCAUCACUUUGCCAGGUCUCCUACUCUGCCCACAUUGUCAGGGUGACACCCUUAAGUGCCAGCUUUCCACCCAGCAACUCACACCCAUACAGUCAGCCCCCAUAUGAGCACAGACAAGAGGUGUGGAAGAAAACUGGCUUCCCAGUGGGCUCACCCCAAAUGACCUAGCCAGGAAGACAUACAUGUCCCC